AUUGAACGCUGGCGGCAUGCCUUACACAUGCAAGUCGAACGGCAGCACGGGUGCUUGCACCUGGUGGCGAGUGGCGCACGGGUGAGUAAUACAUCGGAACAUGUCCUGUAGUGGGGGAUAGCCCGGCGAAAGCCGGAUUACUACCGCCUACGAUUUACGGAUGAAAGCGGGGGCCCUUCGGGCCUCGCGCUUUAGGGUUGGUCGGUGGCUGAUUAGCUAGUUGGUGGGGUAAAGGCCUACCAAGGCGACGAUCAGUAGCUGGUCUGAGAGGACGACCAGCCACACUGGGACUGAGACACGGCCCAGACUCCUACGGGAGGCAGCAGUGGGGAAUUUUGGACAAUGGGCGAAAGCCUGACCCAGCAAUGCCGCGUGUGUGAAGAAGGCCUUCGGGUUGUAAAGCACUUUUGUCCGGAAAGAAGUCCUGGGCCCUAAUACGGUCGGGGGAUGACGGUACCGGAAGAAUAAGCACCGGCUAACUACGUG
rnacentral:rRNA from 1 species